UACGUAGGGUCCGAGCGUUGUCCGGAAUUAUUGGGCGUAAAGGGCUCGUAGGCGGUUAGUCACGUCGGGAGUGAAAACUCAGGGCUCAACCCUGAGCGUGCUUCCGAUACGGGCUGACUAGAGGUAUGCAGGGGAGAACGGAAUUCCUGGUGUAGCGGUGGAAAUGCGCAGAUAUCAGGAGGAACACCCGGUGGCGAAGGCGGUUCUCUGGGACG
rnacentral:rRNA from 1 species